rnacentral:rRNA from 1 species
UACGGGGGGGGCAAGCGUUGUUCGGAAUUACUGGGCGUAAAGGGCUCGUAGGUGGCCAACUAAGUCAGACGUGAAAUCCCUCGGCUUAACCGGGGAACUGCGUCUGAUACUGGAUGGCUUGAGUUUGGGAGAGGGACGCGGAAUUCCAGGUGUAGCGGUGAAAUGCGUAGAUAUCUGGAGGAACACCGGUGGCGAAGGCGGCGUCCUGGACCAACAUUGACACUGAUGAGCGAAAGCCAGGGGAGCAAACGGG